AUUGAACGCUGGCGGCAGGCCUAACACAUGCAAGUCGAGCGGGGUUUUCGGACCUAGCGGCGGACGGGUGAGUAAUGCCUAGGAAUCUGCCUGUUAGUGGGGGAUAACGCGGGGAAACUCGCGCUAAUACCGCAUACGUCCUACGGGAGAAAGCGGGGGCUCUUCGGACCUCGCGCUAACAGAUGAGCCUAGGUCGGAUUAGCUAGUUGGUGGGGUAAUGGCCCACCAAGGCGACGAUCCGUAACUGGUCUGAGAGGAUGAUCAGUCACACUGGAACUGAGACACGGUCCAGACUCCUACGGGAGGCAGCAGUGGGGAAUAUUGGACAAUGGGCGAAAGCCUGAUCCAGCCAUGCCGCGUGUGUGAAGAAGGUCUUCGGAUUGUAAAGCACUUUAAGUCGGGAGGAAGGGCUGUAGGCUAAUACCUUGCAGUUUUGACGUUACCGACAGAAUAAGCACCGGCUAACUUCGUGCCAGCAGCCGCUGUAACAC
rnacentral:rRNA from 1 species